CCGGGUUUGCAGGAGCAGCUGUGGCCGCCGACGGUGUUGAAACACAAAGCGUUUUCGUCGCAGCUGUGCUGACCGGACGCGCACUCGUCGUGCUCUACAGAAACAAAACAGACCGGAGAAGGUUCAUCCAGACUUGAUCUCUUUCCCAAGACACACGAACAAAAGAAAGAAGUACAGCAAGUCAGACUGGAUGACAUGAAGGAAUAAUCAUCGAUCCGGAUGAAUCCGGUGUGGCAGAUGCACAUGAAGGAGCCGGCGGUGUUCACACACUGUGUGUUCUCACGGCAGUAGUGCCUCCCCUCCGCACACUCAUCGAUAUCUGCG